AUGUUCUCCCCCCCCCCCCCCCCCCCCCCCAAAUCAGCCUGUGAAGGAACCGGUGCCGGCAGCCAUUACCAAACAGUGGAUUCCAGCAACAUUGACAGCUUUGUGAACUGCACCAAGAUCCUGGGCAACCUGGACUUCCUCAUCACCGGCCUGGAGGGGUGAGUGGGGGUUAGUGUGUGUGUGUGGGGGGGGCUUUGUGGUCCCCCACCCCCCCCCACUGACAGCCUUGGCCCCAUAGGGACCCCUGGCGCAACAUCUCAGCGCUGGACCCUGAGAAGCUGAAUGUGUUCCGCACAGUGAGGGAGAUCACAGGGUACCUCAACAUCCAGUCGUGGCCGAAGCACAUGCACAACUUCAGUGUCUUCUCCAACCUGGAAACCAUUGGGGGACGGAGCCUUUACAACUUCACCUCCCCUUCUUCCACAUCCCUGCAUCCCACUCUUAUCCAGCAACUCCUACCUCACUCCUGCCUUCCACCUUUGUGUGCCCCCCCUAUCCCCCCUAUCCCCCCUAUCCCUCCUAGUCGUGUCCCGCUAUCCCCGCCUAAUCCGCCCAUAGCC
rnacentral:lncRNA from 1 species